CCUACGGGUGGCUGCAGUGGGGAAUAUUGCACAAUGGCCGCAAGCCUGAUGCAGCCAUGCCGCGUGUGUGAAGAAGGCCUUCGGGUUGUAAAGCACUUUCAGCGGGGAGGAAGGCGGUGAGGUUAAUAACCUCAUCGAUUGACGUUACCCGCAGAAGAAGCACCGGCUAACUCCGUGCCAGCAGCCGCGGUAAUACGGAGGGUGCAAGCGUUAAUCGGAAUUACUGGGCGUAAAGCGCACGCAGGCGGUCUGUCAAGUCGGAUGUGAAAUCCCCGGGCUCAACCUGGGAACUGCAUUCGAAACUGGCAGGCUAGAGUCUUGUAGAGGGGGGUAGAAUUCCAGGUGUAGCGGUGAAAUGCGUAGAGAUCUGGAGGAAUACCGGUGGCGAAGGCGGCCCCCUGGACAAAGACUGACGCUCAGGUGCGAAAGCGUGGGGAGCAAACAGGAUUAGAUACCCGUGUAGUC
rnacentral:rRNA from 1 species